AUUUGAAAACAAAAUAUCUUCAUUGCCUCUCGAAAAACCUAGCACAGCAGUGGCCAUGGACGAAUCCACGAACAAAGAAAUGAAAUUGUUUCUUCUUCUUCUUCGUAGUAGUAUUGUUUCUGAUAAGAUCGAUUGUAACAACGUAGGGUCUGGAAUGGAAGGGUAGUGAUGCAGAGAUUCCAAAAGGCAGGAGCAUUGAUAUAAGGCCCGGGGGAUAUUGGUCCAAGAUCAAAGUUCAGGAAUUGAACGAUAGUUACGCAGGGAGCAGCAUUAUUAGGAGGAUGGUGGUCAAGGGAUACGACACGUCCCCUCAUACUCCUAGGGAGGAUGUGGAAGAGGCUCUGAGAAAACACUUCGCAUCACGUGGAAUAAAGUUAAUUACGCCUUUAUCUAUGUUUAUGAAGAAUAUGAAGCAAAGGCGUUGAAGCUUCAGGGAAGUGACAUGGGAGGACGUAUUUUAGAAAUUACGUCUUACCCUUUUGAAGACAAUCACCUUGACCAUGUCUUUCCUCCUUGCAAUCCCUCAGACGAUAUCCGACAGCGCACGUUGAAAAUUACAGGAUUUGAUACUUCCCUUGAUGAGGAUGAUAUCGACAAGAUGCUACUUGAGUUUUUCCCUGAAUCCGGUAUUAUGGAUAUCUGUAACGGCUUUGUUCUCCUUGUUAUCUCUGGACUAGAUACUAUGGACAAGGCUCUGAAACUUAGCUGAAGAACUGUACGAGGCUCUAAAUUUGCAGUCACUACGGUCCUCCCUAUAAAAUUGGUGAGGUGUGGCUUAUCACGCGCAGCUAGGUUGCCUUUGGGUAAGAAAGCUUAAAAGUGACGAGAAAUCAGAAGAUGAUCAAGACUUACGGAUUAGAAAUGCUCUCUCUCUCUCUCUCUCUCUCCCGUGUUAUUAACUACUUGUCAUGCAAUGCCUCGCUCUUCGAAAUGUUAUGUUUUGUCUGGAUUUUAAAUGUUAUGUUUAUAUUCUUGUGUGCUGUUUUUUAUGAUAAAACAUUGUAGAAACAAUAUUACAAACUUGGUUCUCCAAUCAAGUUUUUAGUAA